rnacentral:rRNA from 1 species
AGGGCACCACCAGGAGUGGAGCCUGCGGCUUAAUUUGACUCAACACGGGAAAACUCACCCGGCCCGGACACUGGAAGGAUUGACAGAUUGAGAGCUCUUUCUUGAUUCAGUGGGUGGUGGUGCAUGGCCGUUCUUAGUUGGUGGAGUGAUUUGUCUGGUUAAUUCCGAUAACGAACGAGACUCUAGCCUACUAAAUAGAUCGUCGGCUUACAAACGCCGGCGAGACUUCUUAGAGGGACAGGCGGUGAUUCAACCGCACGAAGCAGAGCAAUAACAGGUCUGUGAUGCCCUUAGAUGUCCGGGGCCGCACGCGCGCUACACUGAAGUGAUCAGCGUGCUUUUUCAACCUACUCUGUCAAGAGUGGGGAACCCAAUGAACCUUCUUCGUGAUUGGGAUAGGGGAUUGUAAUUAUUCCCCUUGAACGAGGAAUUCCCAGUAAGCGCGAGUCAUAAGCUCGCGUUGAUUACGUCCCUGCCCUUUGUACACACCGCCCGUCGCUACUACCGAUUGAAUGUUUU